rnacentral:rRNA from 1 species
UUACGGGAGGCAGCUGUAGGGAAUAUUGGUCAAUGGGCGAAAGCCUGAACCAGCAACGCCGCGUGUGCGAUGAAGGUCUUCGGAUCGUAAAGCACUUUUCUGGGAGAUGAGAAAGGACAGUAUCCCAGGAAUAAGCCUCGGCUAACUACGUGCCAGCAGCCGCGGUAAAACGUAGGAGGCAAGCGUUAUCCGGAUUUACUGGGCGUAAAGCGCGUGCAGGCGGUUCGGCAAGUUGGAUGUGAAAGCUCCUGGCUCAACUAGGAGAGGUCGUUCAAAACUACCGAACUUGAGGGCAACAGAGGAAAGCGGAAUUCCCGGUGUAGUGGUGAAAUGCGUAGAUAUCGGGAGGAACACCAGUGGCGAAAGCGACUUUCUGGGUUGCAUCUGACGCUCAGACGCGAAAGCUAGGGUAGCAAACGGGAUUAGAUACCCCGGUAGU